AGCCCCCAAUUGCCCCUUGGUUCUCUUCUCCCUUAGCGCCGCCGCAGCCGCUAGCUCUGCUACCGCCGCCCUCCGUCGCGGCCGUUCCUCGUCUUCCCCUCGCCGGAGCACCUGCGCAGCUGCCAUCUGCGCGCCAUCGCGGGUGCCAGGGAGACCUAGCCUCCACACCCUCUGCCGGCUCAUCCGGCGAUCGCCUGCGGCUCCUCAACUCCCGGCUCCUCCGCCGAUGCCUCCCAACUCGCGGCCCCGUCUCCGCCUCGGUUUUGCCACCCGAAUGGCGAGGCAACAACGUAUGCUGGAGACGAACUCUACGGAGCAAACCUCCGAGACUCCCACCAUGGAUAGCUGGGCUGAUGUGGCUGCCAGCAUCGACAGGGACUCAAUGGAGUCGAGUUGCUAUGAGAGGAUCGCGGCCCUGAGGAGCAUCGGGGAUCAGUGCGUCUAUGCGGAUGAAUUCCGGCUCCUGCUCCAGAAGAAGAAUGCUCCCAUUUGCUACGUUUGGUUUGAGCCAACCCCCUGGAUGGACAUAACCCAGGGGCUUCUGAAAACAAUUUAUGUCAACAAGAUGGUCAAAGCUGGUUACAUAGUUAAAAUAUUGAUAGCAGAUUGGUUUGCCCAACGGAACCAUAGGAUUUGCAGCAAUAAAUAUGUAAUAAGGAAAAUUGGCUGCUACAAUAUUGAGAUGUGGAAAGCAGCUGGCAUGGAUCUUGACAGAGUAGAGCUUGUAUGGUUCUCAGAUGUGUUGGAAAGGCAUGCAUCUGAUUACUGGCCACUUGCCCUGGAUGUGUCCAGAAAAUGCACUCUAAAAAGAAUGGCAAGCUGUUGCACGGAAACAGCCCCAUAUGACGCGCGACUGCCUGCUGCUGUGAUAUUUUACCCAUGCAUGCAAGUUGCUGCUAUAUUAUGUCCGAAGUUGCAGGCGGAUAUAUGGCUCUUCAGCAUGGAUCAGCAAGAAAUUGUCAUGCUAACCAGAGAGUAUUGUGAAGACAUAAAAAGCGAAAGCAAACCAACUAUUAUGUUGCACAAUACACUACCUAAUUUAGUAGAUAAUCCUUAUAUUGUACUAAAGGACCCUUAUAACAUGAGGGAACCAAAAUGGAACAUCUUCAUGCACGAUAAGGAGUGCGCUUUGAAUGGAAAAAUAAGCAGGGCUGUCUGUCCUCCAAAAGUAGCAGUAUGCAACCCAUGUUUGGAGUACAUCAAAUAUGUUAUCUUCCCUUGGUUUGGGAAGUUUGAGGUAGCGCAGAAGGAACAGAGUGGUGUUAACAAGUCAUUUGAAUGCAUGGAAGAUCUUAUUGUUGAUUAUGAAAGUGGCCAUCUUGAUCCUCUCAACGUUAAGUUGGCUUUUGAAAAAGGAAUAUGCAAAAUAUUAGAGGGAGGAGCAAUCUCCACUCCUGGUGGCGGCAUCGAUCUUUAUCUAGAUGUAGUGGUAGCUCGUUCCUUAUUGUCUCAUGUGGCCAUGUGUUCCUUUGGCGAGCUUCUCUCGUAUCCCUAUGGUAGCAGCAGCUUGUCUUCGUCUUCCUCGACAGCAAGGUCGUCUUCGCGGGCCAAACUGUCCGGGUGUGUAUCCUUUGUCCUCUCCCCAUUUCUGGCAUUGAUUUUGUUCGGACUUGAGCUCAUUAUCGCUGUCAAUCUCCAUCCUCGUCUGAUCUGGUCGACUUGGAGGCAUGGUUUGGCCAUCUGCAUCACCGUUCUGGCCGGAUCUGUUGAUGCCAGGUUGUGGCUUUCUAACUCGUCUGGACCGCGCUGCCCGGUAUCCUCUAGGUAACAGGCGGCUCAUCUUCUUCUACUGCCACUUGUCGCUGGGCUACAUUAGCACGCCCUUGGGUGGUAGAAGCUACCCUGCAGGCUUGGCCCAUUGCAGCGGUAGCCCUUCCCGUCGUCGGCAGCUUCCCCAGAUCAGAGCUUGUUGCUGCUCUUUAUCCAGCGUCAUCGCCAGCCCGUGCAUAUCAAUAUAUCAUCACCAGCUCCGGAACCGUCCUGCUGAUGCUGGUGUGUCGCAGUCGCUGCCACACACAAGAAGAAGAGCUGACUGCAAGUUGCAACGCUAUCACUUGUACUGGGUGUCGGGCCUUGCUGCGAUGUUGAUGCUGGGUGAGGUUCUUCUGCACUGGGUCAUUUUUGCCAUGGUUCUACUGUCAUGUUUGCUCAAUGGUUUGUAGGGAUGGUUAUAUGUGUGCUGGUGUGCUGCUUCACUUCUGCCUGCUCUUCUCUGUUCUGCUGCAUGUUCGUCCAUAAUCACUGUUGCUGCAUCUUUAUGUCCAUUGCCAUCGUGUCCAUCAUCCAUCUGACUCCAUCCAAGUCAUCUCAUUUUGAAUCUGUCUGCAUGGCGGGGAAUUCAUCCAUUUCACCGUAAAUCAUUUAGUCGCUUUUUUGGGGGUUUCCCAUGGUCUUUUCAAUUGAAUCGAGCUCGGUGCCCCUAUCAUUGUUGUUGAUGUGACUUUGCCUCUCGGUCCUUUCUGUAGCCUUUUCUGUGACCUGACAUUGUCCGUCGCCUUCUUACUGGUCACUUGUUGCUACUUUCGACAUAUCGCUUCCUUAUCACCAUCUGCACGACUUGGCCGGAUUGUCCCUUUCAUCUUGGUCAGGAGGACCUUCGUUGGCUAAAUUAAGCAGAUAUUUAUUCUUGUUGGUUUCCAACAUCUCCAACCAAGUUGUCUGAUGAACAAUCUGUGAAAGCUUUGGAUUACCAUUUUGGAGGAGUUGGCACAUUGGAAUAUUAAGGGUAUAAGUGGGUGGCACCUCUAAUGUGUAAGGCAUGUUGGUACCUGCCUGAACAGCAACGCCGAAGCCCAAGCUCUAAUUAUUGACCUUAUGGGUCAUAUCAGGCGAAUAGAGUCCGUAGAUAUCCAUGAGUUUCACUGGUAGAACAGAAAUUAUCUGAUCCU